CCGGAUGUGAAACCUUAAGUUGAUAUCAACCAGCAAGCAGUAUCCUUUGCUUCACGCCAUGCUUCGAUUGUGUUGCAUUCUAUCUGCAGUGGUGCUUACCAAUGUUGAUCUAACGAGCGCUGGUUUGUGUCAGUUUGCUAUUGAUGGUACCAGUGAACGUCCGUUGAUCAGCUGCCCUGAUGAAUGCGAAUGUUUAAAUGGCAGCCUCAGUCAAGUACCUUUAGUAGGAUGUCACUGUUCUUUCUCUUGUCCCAAUGACUCAUCUCUUCCAAUUUGGUCUUGGCCUAUCAUCAUUAUUGGAUUGAUCGCUCUCUUCUUCAUCGCCGUCAUCGCUUUCUGCUGCGUCCUCAAGAGCACGUUCAACAGCUGUUUGGGAUAGACAAUGAAUAAUAUGCCCAGCACGUUCUCAUCUCAUCUCAAUUACUCGAUUUACUUCAAAUAGAAUUAUAUCACUAGCAUUGCCUAUAGUUUGUAUUACACAUAGCCUCGUGUAGAUAGACAAUGCAGUACACUCAAUUUGUCUGUGUCCUCGGAGUCCCAGACCAGGGCGGGCGCGAGCAGGCCGGAACUCGCAUGUUUUUGUCUCGUUGGUGUCAACUGUUGGUGUUAUGUCGUCAUGUGUAAUUGGAAUCUUGUUGGUUGUGUUCGCAUCUAGCGGCUGGUGCGCGUCUUUGUGUGGUGGUCGUUCACAAGAUGGGAACUUAGUCGUUUUGAGAUGUGCGAAUGCCGUUGAAUCACCAGUCCAGCCCAACACAUCAGAUCUAUCAAAUCCGUCCACUAGCAACGCAUCCGAUUCAAACCCUAGUUUUGGUCUCCCAUGGUGGUCAUGGUUUGCAAUCAUUCCUGGCUUGCUUCUUCUGUUGAUUAUCAUGCUUUGCAUAUGCUGCAAGAUUCUCAUAACGUGUUUCAACAGAAUCAGUCCAUUCUGAUCAAGGAUUAGUAUGCAGUUUAGAGUUCCGAUGCUAGUUUGGCAUGCAUUUGUGUUCGUAUGACAGCAAGUGGUUUGUGCAUGGUGUUUACUGAUAUUUGCUAACUUUGAGGGUAGUUAGCAGUUGUGCCUCUGAUUGAAUGUCAUAGCUUGAUUAGAGUUUUUUUUAUUCUGA